GACGAACGCUGGCGGCGUGCCUAAUACAUGCAAGUUGAGCGAUGAAGAUUGGUGCUUGCACCAAUUUGAAGAGCAGCGAACGGGUGAGUAACGCGUGGGGAAUCUGCCUUUGAGCGGGGGACAACAUUUGGAAACGAAUGCUAAUACCGCAUAACAACUUUAAACAUAAGUUUUAAGUUUGAAAGAUGCAAUUGCAUCACUCAAAGAUGAUCCCGCGUUGUAUUAGCUAGUUGGUGAGGUAAAGGCUCACCAAGGCGAUGAUACAUAGCCGACCUGAGAGGGUGAUCGGCCACAUUGGGACUGAGACACGGCCCAAACUCCUACGGGAGGCAGCAGUAGGGAAUCUUCGGCAAUGGACGAAAGUCUGGCCGAGCAACGCCGCGUGAGUGAAGAAGGGUUUCGGACCGUAAAACUCUGUUGGUAGAGAAGAACGUUGGUGAGAGUGGAAAGCUCAUCAAGUGACGGUAACUACCCAGAAAGGGACGGCUAACUACGUG
rnacentral:rRNA from 1 species